GUCCGGCUGAUGAGUCCCGAAAUAGAACGAAACGCAUGUCUUGGAU
rnacentral:hammerhead_ribozyme from 1 species